ACGAACGCUGGCGGCGUGCCUAAUACAUGCGAGUCGAACGCUUCUUUCCUCCCGAGUGCUUGCACUCAAUUGGAAAGAGGAGUGGCGGACGGGUGAGUAACACGUGGGUAACCUACCCAUCAGAGGGGGAUAACACUUGGAAACAGGUGCUAAUACCGCAUAACAGUUUAUGCCGCAUGGCAUAAGAGUGAAAGGCGCUUUCGGGUGUCGCUGAUGGAUGGACCCGCGGUGCAUUAGCUAGUUGGUGAGGUAACGGCUCACCAAGGCCACGAUGCAUAGCCGACCUGAGAGGGUGAUCGGCCACACUGGGACUGAGACACGGCCCAGACUCCUACGGGAGGCAGCAGUAGGGAAUCUUCGGCAAUGGACGAAAGUCUGACCGAGCAACGCCGCGUGAGUGAAGAAGGUUUUCGGAUCGUAAAACUCUGUUGUUAGAGAAGAACAAGGACGUUAGUAACUGAACGUCCCCUGACGGUAUCUAACCAGAAAGCCACGGCUAACUACGUGCCAGCAGCCGCGGUAAUACGUAGGUGGCAAGCGUUGUCCGGAUUUAUUGGGCGUAAAGCGAGCGCAGGCGGUUUCUUAAGUCUGAUGUGAAAGCCCCCGGCUCAACCGGGGAGGGUCAUUGGAAACUGGGAGACUUGAGUGCAGAAGAGGAGAGUGGAAUUCCAUGUGUAGCGGUGAAAUGCGUAGAUAUAUGGAGGAACACCAGUGGCGAAGGCGGCUCUCUGGUCUGUAACUGACGCUGAGGCUCGAAAGCGUGGGGAGCAAACAGGAUUAGAUACCCUGGUAGUCCACGCCGUAAACGAUGAGUGCUAAGUGUUGGAGGGUUUCCGCCCUUCAGUGCUGCAGCAAACGCAUUAAGCACUCCGCCUGGGGAGUACGACCGCAAGGUUGAAACUCAAAGGAAUUGACGGGGGCCCGCACAAGCGGUGGAGCAUGUGGUUUAAUUCGAAGCAACGCGAAGAACCUUACCAGGUCUUGACAUCCUUUGACCACUCUAGAGAUAGAGCUUUCCCUUCGGGGACAAAGUGACAGGUGGUGCAUGGUUGUCGUCAGCUCGUGUCGUGAGAUGUUGGGUUAAGUCCCGCAACGAGCGCAACCCUUAUUGUUAGUUGCCAUCAUUUAGUUGGGCACUCUAGCGAGACUGCCGGUGACAAACCGGAGGAAGGUGGGGAUGACGUCAAAUCAUCAUGCCCCUUAUGACCUGGGCUACACACGUGCUACAAUGGGAAGUACAACGAGUCGCUAGACCGCGAGGUCACGCAAAUCUCUUAAAGCUUCUCUCAGUUCGGAUUGCAGGCUGCAACUCGCCUGCAUGAAGCCGGAAUCGCUAGUAAUCGCGGAUCAGCACGCCGCGGUGAAUACGUUCCCGGGCCUUGUACACACCGCCCGUCACACCACGAGAGUUUGUAACACCCGAAGUCGGUGAGGUAACCUUUUUGGAGCCAGCCGCCUAAGGUGGGAUAGAUGAUUGGGGU
rnacentral:rRNA from 1 species